CGGGUGCCUACAUCUUUCUGGCUGUGUGACUUGAGUAUGGACUCCCAGCCCUACCCCACUGAGGCGAUGAAGAUGGUGAGAGGACGAGGCCCUAACCCCUACAAGGUGACGUUGAACACAGGAGAAGGAGAGGGGCUUCUGCACUGUCAUGAGGACUGGGUACCUGCACAUGCCCCACAGACUUGUCUAUCAACUCCCUUCCUGUUCUGUCAGUCCAGGAGUGGCUAUGGGGCAGGAAAGGAGCUGUAGCUCUCAGCUCCUGAGCAGGCAGGGGGUCUUCAACUAAAUCAUUCAUUGCUACAACACAG